GACGUAGGGGGCCAGCGUUGUUCGGAAUUACUGGGUGUAAAGGGUUCGUAGGCGGUGCGGCAAGUUGGGAGUGAAAUCGUCAUGGGCUUAACCCAGAGGCUGCUUCCAAAACUGCUGUGCUUGAGUGUGGGAGAGGACGCGUGGAAUUGCAGGUGUAGCGGUGAAAUGCGUAGAUAUCGCAGGAACACCCGUGGCGAAAGCGGCGCCGCUGGACCACUACUGACGCUGAGGAACGAAAGCUAGGGGAGCAAACAGG
rnacentral:rRNA from 1 species